rnacentral:rRNA from 1 species
UACAGAGGUCCCAAGCGUUGUUCGGAUUCAUUGGGCGUAAAGGGUGCGUAGGUGGCGCGCUAAGUCAGGUGUGAAAUUUCGGAGCUUAACUCCGAAACUGCAUUUGAUACUGGCGUGCUUGAGGACUGGAGAGGAGACUGGAAUUUACGGUGUAGCAGUGAAAUGCGUAGAGAUCGUAAGGAAGACCAGUGGCGAAGGCGGGUCUCUGGACAGUUCCUGACACUGAGCACGAAGGCCAGGGGAGCAAACGGG